rnacentral:rRNA from 1 species
CACCAAGAAAUUAAGUUAUAUCAUAACGGUAAAAACAUAGUUAGACAAAAUUAAUUGUUAUGUAAUCAAUUAUAAAAAAGUAAAAUUUGAAUAUAAUUAUAUAAUCUAAUAAUAACAUUAAAGUUGAACCUAUGACAACCUUGAGGGAAACUGGGAUUAGAUACCCCACUAUUCUUGGAUAUAAACUAAAUAUAUUUACCAGGGUACUACGAAUAAAUUAAAAAUUUAAAACUCAAAGAGCUUGGCGGUGUUUUAGACCCCUCAGGGGAACCUGUCUCAUAAUCGACAAUCCACGCUAUACCUUACCUCUCCUUUGCAACAUCUCAGCCUGUAUACCGUUGUCGUCAGGUAACUUUUUAGAAACAAAGAGUUAGCUAAUAAACAUUUUAAAUUAUAACGUCAAAUCAAGGUGCAGCCGAUGGGGGGGAGAAGAUGGGUUACAAUUAUACAAUUAUAACACGAAAAAUUACAAUAAAAAUAAUUUGAAGGAGGACUUGAAAGUAAAUUAAAUUAUAUAAAUAACUUGAAUUAGGCUCUGAAAUGUGU